CCGGACAGAUUCGCAGUCCAGUCGAGUUUGUAUGCAAGUUUUCCGGCGUUCUAUUUUGUCUUUGCUCGCAUCAAAUAGCGGCGUUGUAAAGUUUUUUUUUUGCAAAGGAUCAAUUUAAUGAGGAAAGCUUUUUGAAGAUCUGCUACUUUAUCUCAUCUCUGGUUUAUUUGAUUGUGCCGUAUGAAAACUCAAUUUUUUUAAGCUCUUUUGUUCUUUAUUUUUGUAAGAUGGUUUUUAUAGGCUAUUAUUGAGUUUUAGAAUAACUUAGGCAGUAUUUGGAAAAUUUUGCGAUCCAUGUCUACUUGAACUUCCCGUUGUUGGUAUGGAAUUCUCUGAUAAAUUCAUAAGA